AUUUAAUUUUCUUCUUAAAAAAAUAGAACUUUUCAACAUGCCAUUAAAAACCCAUUAUUCGGAGCUAAAUUAGCUGCAAAUCCUUUAAACCCAGUGGCUGUGUGAUUCAGUGAGAGCAAAAGAAUGGAAGAAAACAAAGCAUGGAAACUCACCAAGUAGAUGAUGAAGAAGAAGAAGAUGAGGGUCCACCACCUGGUUUUGACUCUUUAACUGUACCUUCACAACAUACCAAUGAAGCUGAAGAUGAUGAAGGCCCACCUCCAGGUUGGCCAUCAAUUCCUCACCAACACAAUCAGCAGCUUCUCCAGACUACUGAUGUAGAGAUGGAAAGCAAAGAACACGAAUCAGAAGACGAUGAAGAUGGUCCACCACCUGGGUGGAACACCAUAAUCCCACAGAAAAAUUUGCCAUCUUCACCACCAGCAACAGCAGCGGUUACUUGCGAUACAGAAACGGAGAAGAAAGAAGAAGUCGUUGAAGAUGAAGAUAAUGGUCCACCGCUAGGAUGGCAGUUGACCCCUCAACUUCCGCCACUACAAACAUCUACACCACCAUCAGGGACACAAGAAGCUCCUCUUGCUGAUACAGAAAUGGAGAAUAAAGAAGACGUCACUGAAGAUGAAGAUAAUGGUCCACCACCAGGUUGGCAGUUGACCCCUCAACAGCCACUACAAACAUCUACACCACCAUCAGGGACACAACAAGCUCUUGCCGAUAUAGAAAUGGAGAAGAAAGAAGAAGAAGUUGAAGAUGAAGAUAAUGGUCCACCACCAGGAUGGAAUUUGAUCGCUCAACCACAGCCACUACAAAUAUCUACACCACCAUCAGGGACACAACAAGCUCUUCUUUCCGACGUUGAAAAGGGGAGCAAACAGGACUCUGAAGUUGAAAAAGAAGGGCAUCCCCUGGGAUCAGAAUCCAUUCCUAUGUCUGGACAUUCAUCACCACCUACACCACCACCUCAGUCGUCAUCAUCAGUUGCUUCUUCUGAAAUGGAGACAGAUAGCAAACAAGAAAGCACAAAGAAUGAGGAGGUAAGGCCCCAAAUUGAAAAGCAACCUAUGUCGCAUUUACGACAGAUGAAACCUAUGGUGCCUCAAUCCUCAUCACAUGCUGCAACAGUUUCUGCAGAAAUGGGUCAGAUGGUAUGUGGUAGUUGCCGACAGUUACUUUCUUAUCCACAAGGGGCUAAAUUGGUGAAGUGUUCAUGCUGCCAGACCGUCAAUCUUGUCCUUGAAGCUCAUGAUGUUGGACAAGUUAAGUGUGGGGGUUGCGCAUUGCUACUCAUGUACCCAUAUGGGGCGCCAUCAGUUAGAUGUUCCUCUUGUCGUCACAUGACAAAAAUUGGGGCACACAACAGACGACCUCCUCUGUCAAUGCAACAGCCUCGAAGAAGACAUCCGUCUUACCAAGUUCAUUAGCUUGCUUAUCUUUAUCUGGUUGUGGGAAUCCACCAUGUAGAUUCAAUUGUUUAUAUGAAACUUCUGCGCUAGAGGGCUAUUUAGCUGACAUCAGGAGAACCAUUUUUCUUAAUGGUACUAGCGGCUAUGUGCAACAUAGAAACAUUUUGGGAAAAACGACAAUCAUUGCCUGUUACAAGAUUCAGUGAGGAAGAACGAAAGAAAAACAGGAAUUGAGCAGCAGAAGAAUUAGAACA